UACGAAGGGGGCUAGCGUUGCUCGGAAUCACUGGGCGUAAAGGGCGCGUAGGCGGCGAUUCAAGUGACGGGUGAAAUCCCUCGGCUUAACCGAGGAACUGCCUGUCAGACUGGAUUGCUUGAGGCCGGGAGAGGCGAGUGGAAUUCCCAGUGUAGCGGUGAAAUGCGUAGAUAUUGGGAGGAACACCAGUGGCGAAGGCGGCUCGCUGGACCGGUUCUGACGCUGAGGCGCGAAAGCGUGGGGAGCAAACAGG
rnacentral:rRNA from 1 species